UAUUUGGUGUCACAAGGUGGUCACAGUCGUUCAGACUGUAUUAGACGAAUGAUGAAGAAGUGUGGCACCAAUCUGUUAUGGGCCAAAUACAGUUUAAAGGGGCAAAAGGGGAAAGAGGCUUUCACAGGUCACCCUUUGUGCAGGAUUAUCAUGAAAUGUUGUGCAAGAGUGUUUCCAAGAUCAAAGGUUGCCGAUAUGGAGGAAGUAUUAAUUGACUUCCUAAAACAGGCCCCGCACAAGCCAGGAGGACCAAAAUAUAAGAAACCUGUAAGAAAAGGACAGACCAUAACACAAGAUGAAUUAGAGUCUGAAUAAAUAAAUGAUUAAUAA